rnacentral:rRNA from 1 species
GGCUACAGUAUGAGCGGGCUGGAUCCUUCGGGGUUACAGCCUUGCUGAAUUAUUCACCCGUGUCUUUUGCGUACUUCUUGUUUCCUUGGUGGGUUCGCCCACCAUAGGACAAACCAUAAACCUUUUGUAAUUGCAAUCAGCGUCAGUAAAAAAAAUUAAUAAUUACAACUUUUAACAACGGAUCUCUUGGUUCUGGCAUCGAUGAAGAACGCAGCGAAAUGCGAUAAGUAGUGUGAAUUGCAGAAUUCAGUGAAUCAUCGAAUCUUUGAACGCACAUUGCGCCCUUUGGUAUUCCAAAGGGCAUGCCUGUUCGAGCGUCAUUUGUACCCUCAAGCUUUGCUUGGUGUUGGGCGUCUUGUCUCCAGUUCGCUGGAGACUCGCCUUAAAGUAAUUGGCAGCCGGCCUACUGGUUUCGGAGCGCAGCACAAGUCGCGCUCUCUUCCAGCCAAGGUCAGCAUCCACAAAGCCUUUUUUCAACUUUUGACCUCGGAUCAGGUAGGGAUACCCGCUGAACUUAAGCAUAUCAAGCCGGGGGGAGAAAAAA